rnacentral:lncRNA from 1 species
AGUUAACCUAAUAGGUUUCUCUGCCGAUGAAAUGAACCAACUGAAGCCAAAUCAGAAGUAUAAAGACAGGUUUAUUGAAUGGCAGCUCUUGGAGUUUUGGAAGACUCAAGGCAUCGUGGUCCAGAGGGUGUGGCUGAACAGUUCCUGCUGUGAUCUCUUAGCAAACGGAGAGAAGGAAUCCUGUUCAGACACUAGUACUGUGCACCACACGUUCUAGCUGUAACCCAUCCAGUCCUUCAGCUCUGGGAGGUCGUGGUCAAGAUAUUCUGUCUUCUCCUUGCCUCUUUGAAAUUCCCCAAAGAAGAAAUCUAGGCUGUCUGGGGGAAGACACCAACACUAACCCCUGAGGAUUGCCCUCCAACCUGUGCUUGAGAGGACAGAUCGAAGUGAGAACUCGGGGAAUAGUUGCUGGGGCCUUCUGAAGGUUUCUGGUGCCGUGGAGGCUGAAAUGGAGUUACAUAAUAGUACCUGAAAAUCUGAUGUGUGGAGGCCUCGAGCCAAGACAAAAGAAAACACGUCAAACAAUAGCUCAGGUUCCUGCCUGAUAUGUUGAAAGAUGCUAAUAUUGAUAAACACAUAUUCCCUAAAACUUGCUAUUGUAGACAUCCUUAGAUAUAAGUUCAGUGGAAUUAUGAGAUACACAUCAUUCUACAGACUAAGAACCUUCAUCCUCUACAGCUGGAGUUCUGUGCCUCUGGAGCCAUUGCAUUUCGUUUCUGUCCCUCCUGGGCCUUGCCACCCUCCUGGUCUGUUUCCAUUUUGGUGAACCUGACUGGUUGAGAUAGCUUGUCUUCUUGUGACUUGCUUGCCUCUCCAUCAUUCCCUGGGGCACAUCCCUACUGCAGCACGGGUGGAAGUUUCUGUUUUAAGGAUGACUAACGGUUGCUGUGUCAUGUGUAGGACACCAACCACUGUUUGCUUCCUCUGAGGAAGACUCACACUGCUCCCACCCUGCAACUAUAGAUAGUGCUGCUGUGAACUCAGCUGGAUUAAAUAUCUACUCCAAUUCUUACUUUCAAUUCCUAUGGAGAUAUAUUCAUAAAUAGAAUAGACAGGUACUAGGAAAUCAUACUUUGAAAUUUCAAAGAACCACCAUAAGGUUUUAAACAGCAACUGUACCAUCUUCUCUUAAUGCCUUAAUUACUAUUGCGUGUGAUUGCACUUGGUUAUAUAUUUUAAAAAAUUACUGUUAAACUAUAAGUAGUUUUAAGAUGUUUCUUGGAGUGUUGGGCUAUUUUUUAUUUAUUUUAUUUAACUAAUUAUUUUAUUUACAUUGCAUCCAUUGUUCCCAAUCCUGGUCCUCCCUCCUACAGUUCCCCAUCCCAUUCCUCCAUCCUCCUUGCCUCUAGAGGGUACUCCUUCUACCCCCCC